rnacentral:rRNA from 1 species
AGUGAACGCUGGCGGCGUGCCUAAUCCAUGCAAGUCGAAGGAAGUGGCGCACGGGUGAGUAAUAUAUAGCUAAUCUGCCCCUUGCUGGAGGACAACAGUUAGAAAUGACUGCUAAUACUCCAUAGAAAGGGAUGAGACUAUAUCGUAUCAGCUUGUCGGUGGGGUCACGUCCUACCGAGGAUAUGACGCGUAACUGGUCUGAGAGGCUGAUCAGUCACAUUGGAGCUGAGAAACGGUCCAACAUCCUACGGUAGGCAGCAGUAGGGAAGAUGGCGCAAUGGGGGAAACCCUGACGCAGCAACGCCGGGUGGAGGAUGACACUUUUCGGAGCGUAAACUCCUUUUGUUAGGGAAGCGGUACCUAACGAAUAAGCACCGGCUAACUCCGUGCCAGCAGCCGCGGUAAUUC